GACAGAGGGUGCAAACGUUGUUCGGAUUUACUGGGCGUAAAGCGUGUGUAGGCGGCUUUGCAAGUCGGAUGUGAAAUCCCACGGCUCAACCGUGGAAGUGCAUCCGAAACGGCAUCGCUUGAGUCCCGGAGAGGAAGGUGGAAUGCUUGGUGUAGAGGUGAAAUUCGUAGAUAUCAAGCAGAACACCUGCGGCGAAGGCGGCCUUCUGGACGGUGACUGA
rnacentral:rRNA from 1 species